GAGUUUGAUUCUGGCUCAGGAUGAACGCUGGCGGCGUGCUUAACACAUGCAAGUCGAACGGGCGAAUUAUAUCGGAGGUCUUCGGGCCGAAGAGAUAAUAAGCUAGUGGCGGACGGGUGCGUAACGUGUGGGUAAUCUGCCUUUGUCAUAGGAAUAACUGCUUGAAAAAGUAGCUAAUACCAAAUAACAUAUCGUAUAGGCAUCUAUAAGAUAUCAAAGAGAAAUCGGACAAAGAUGAGCCCGCAUCUGAUUAGCUGGUUGGUAGGGUAAAAGCCUACCAAGGCGACGAUCAGUAGCCGGCCUGAGAGGGUGAACGGCCACAUUGGAACUGAGACACGGUCCAAACUCCUACGGGAGGCAGCAGUGGGGAAUAUUGCACAAUGGGGGGAACCCUGAUGCAGCAACGCCGCGUGAGUGAAGAAGGCUUUCGAGUCGUAAAACUCUGUUGUAAGGGAAGAUAAUGACGUACCUAAAAGAAGCCCC
rnacentral:rRNA from 1 species